CGACGUUCAAUGUGUAGGAAAUGAAAGUAAUAUUUCGAGUUGUUCACAUAGAAAAUGGGGAUUGCAUAAUUGUGAAGAUUAUAAAGAUGCUGGUGUACAAUGUUCAGAGAAAGAUUCGACAAUACCAGAGAAAAUGGGCAGUCCAUUGGCCAACUUUUCCUUGGAGGAAUAUGAUAAUCCUUAAAUUAUCAGUUUUGUUACGAUUGUUUACAUUCAUUAUAGCUAUUUAAAGCUGUAUGCUGUAGCUUAUGAUGCUCCAUUAAAAUUUUUUUGCACAUUAA